CCUACGGGAGGCAGCAGUGAGGAAUAUUGGUCAAUGGUCGAGAGUCUGAACCAGCCAAGUCGCGUGAGGGAUGACUGCCCUGAGGGUUGUAAACUUCUUUUAUAAGGGAAUAAAACGAGGCACGUGUGCCCUUUUGCAUGUACUUUAUGAAUAAGGAUCGGCUAACUCCGUGCCAGCAGCCGCGGUAAUACGGAGGAUCCGAGCGUUAUCCGGAUUUAUUGGGUUUAAAGGGAGCGUAGAUGGGUUGUUAAGUCAGUUGUGAAAGUUUGCGGCUCAACCGGAAAAUUGCAAUUGAUACUGGCAGUCUUGAGUACAGUAGAGGUAGGCAGAAUGCGUGGUGUAGCGGUGAAAUGCUUAGAUAUCACGAAGAACCCCGAUUGCGAAGGCAGCUUACUAAACUGUGACUGACAUUGAUGCUCGAAAGUGUGGGUAUCAAACAGGAUUAGAUACCCCUGUAGUC
rnacentral:rRNA from 1 species